rnacentral:rRNA from 1 species
UACGUAGGGGGCAAGCGUUGUCCGGAAUCAUUGGGCGUAAAGAGCGCGUAGGCGGUCCGGUAAGUCCGCUGUGAAAGUCGGGGGCUCAACCCUCGAAUGCCGGCGGAUACUGCCGGGCUAGAGUCCGGAAGAGGCGAGUGGAAUUCCUGGUGUAGCGGUGAAAUGCGCAGAUAUCAGGAGGAACACCAAUGGCGAAGGCAGCUCGCUGGGACGGUACUGACGCUGAGGCGCGAAAGCGUGGGGAGCAAACAGG